rnacentral:lncRNA from 1 species
UCCCUUAAUUCUCUCACUCCGGAAUUUCCCUGUCUCUCUUUUCCCUCUCUCUAAUUAAUCUCUCUCCCUUGAUCUUUUCAAUCUCUCUCUAUCUCUGUUUUCACGGAAUUCUCUGUUUCACAAAUCUCUCGUUCCUCUCCACCUCUCCCCCAAUUCAGAGUAAACUGUCCCCAAGAUCUCACCUUCUCUCUUUCUCCUCACACAGUCACGCUUCUCUUUCCCCCAAUCUUUCUCUCUCUCUACCUCCGUUAUCAUAUUCCCUCACCCAAUCUUUCUCUCUCUUUCUCUCAUCCAAUCUCUUCCUCUCCCUCACACAAAACUCUCUUUUAUUCUCGAUUUCUUUC